AGUGGUAAAUGAAUAUGUAUUAGGCUGGACUGUCUGGCUGAGGGAGCCGGCACCUCCUCUGCACGGAGAAAACUCCCAUAGGGACACGCUGCCUUGGGUCGUAAUCCCCAGUAACGCCUGUAAUUCGACGUUUCUUUAAAAUAAUAACAAUUAAAAAAAAAGAAACAGUUCCUGAAGGACUUUGUAACAGCUAUUGCUUAUAAUUCUUAAGCAUCAGGGAAUAAGAGAGUUAAUAGUUAUCUUAAAAAUUAAGUGCUAUAUUUAGUAAUUAAGCAGAUUCAUCUGAGAAAAAAAAAUCUACUUUGUUAAGUGAAAUAUUGGUCAGUAUAGUUUCACCUUUUUGUCAUGCCUCGGUGCUUUUGAAUUUAAUUUAUUCAGUUUAUGAAAAAGGUGGUUUUAAUCACUGGCAGCAGCACAGAUUUAAAAUGAGGUCUGAGGAACAAACACGGUCUUUCUUAAGCAUUCUCAGAAAUGGUUUAAAACAAUUUAGGUCCUGAAGGUCAUUCUUGUUCCUGUUUUUGUCCGUGCAAUUCAGAUAGCCUCAGAUCCAGCCUCCAGUGACUCUUGCAGAAAUCCCCACUAACUUUUUGUUGGAUAGAUGUGAAGAGGGGAGAGAAUACAUUUGUACUCCUUGAAAUUUAGUUGACAGUUCAGCUACCGAUAAUGUGAGAUCUUGCAUAAAACUUAUAUUAAUUUUUCCAGAAUGGCACUGGCUUUGCUAUUUUCACAAGAACAAUAAAAAAAUAAUACAGAUCUAGUUUUAUUACUAGAAUAAUUCCAUAUAUGCAGGCACAGAGCUUUUGCUCAAAAAUAUGUUAUUUUGAUAUCAUAGUGUUCAAAUUAGGGCUAUUUAUUUAAAGUGCACUAAUGCAUCUUGGAGAAAUGGAAUGCAUCUUGCCUAGGUGCAAAGCUGCUUUUUUACAGCUUUGCUGUAGUUCUCUUUCCCUAUGUUAUGUUAUUAAUGGAAUUUGUAUGUGGAUAGUAUCUCAAGACUUCCUUUGCUUCUGCUGUUUAUUCAUCACUUGAAGUCAUAAUAAUUUGUUUCUAAAACCACAGCUGGCUGCUAUAAAGGCAGAGAGAGGAAGACCAUGAUUUAUGUGGUGAAUGAGAAACAAGAAUAGAAGAAUGUAAUAAAUAUUUGUUACUUAAAACUUAGGAUAUUGUUAUGAAAAAGGUAGCAUAAAAAUUAAAUAGGCAGUAUAUCAGCAGGAUCUUUCCUAAACAGAGUUCUGUUAAUUUUUUUUUUCUAGAGAAUUUACUGUCUUUUAAAAACAGCACUAAAUAUCUUAUAAAUUUACAAGGGUAAUGAAAUUCAAACUUAAAAACUGCAAAUCAAUCUUUAAAUGACAAUAUUGGCACCUCAUAAGAGUACUCUGGUUCACAGUUACCUUUAUUCUCUGGCUUGAGACUUCCAUAAGUGCUAUGGGCUCCUUGAAGUAUGUUUGAAUUUCACUGUUUCUCUCAACAAUGUUAGUUGCUGUUUUUCUCUUCUAUCUAUGUGAGUCUUCCAUACAGUCACAGAGAAGGAAAAAAAAUAGCUUUAAGGGUAAGAAAAAGUGACUAAAUUAAAUUACUUUUGGGACUCUGGGCCAUAUGUAGUGCAUGAAACUACUUAAAGCUACUUCUGAGCUUCUUUGGCAUUGGAACGUUUAAUACAGGCUUGGUCUGCCUUAAAUGUUUUACUGUGUAAAAGUUCUAAUGGAGUAGGAGAAAGAUGUGAAAUGGAGAAAAAAAAGAGCAGAUUCUGAAAACCUAGCUUCCCUUCAUGUAAACAAAAUAAGUUUUUUUUACUUUGCCAUAUAACAAACAGUAAUUCUUCUAAACAGUCACAAAUACGAUAACUAUAUACAAAUGGGGAUUUAAAAUUUUUAAGUACAAUUCAAACCCAAUGCUUUAUUUAUUUUUAAUCUGUGUGUUUUGGGGUAGCAAUUCUAGGACAAACAUUGCCUGUACAUAUACAGUUAUGAAUGCUUCUGAGUCAAUUUUAGAGGCAUAUCACCUUACUGGGGAUGAAAGGCACAAAGUUAAGCAACCUCUAUUUUUUUUCCCCAGAUCCUUUCUACUGUUCCUGAACAUUUUGAUUCUCAAUGUAUAUCAUCCAGAUUGUAGAUAUAUUUAAUCGAGUUUUACAUUAGUAGUGAAAACAUGAACCUUAAGAAUUCUUGAAAAUCACCGGAAGAAUAUAUUGUUCCUGACUUGAUUUCAAACAUGUGUGCCCAAGACAGGGAGGGAUGAGUGAAUUUAUUUUUUUAUUUUUCCUUUAGGCAAAAAUCCCUUUCAUGAUCAAGGAAGGAGGCAAAAAGAUUUUUACAGUCCUGUAAAGUGCCUGUUGCUAGAAAUUAUUUUCACUUUGUUCCUGAGAAGUAUGCCAAGUUUACUGGAGAGCUAGCAUGCUGAUUUAUUUAUAUAAUAUGAUAUAAGCAGAGGAGGGGGUAAUGUGUUUUUGACCCAGCUGAUUUUGCUGAAUUUGCUCUGAUAUGCUGAAAAGACUUACUGAUUUAUUAAGCUAGAUUUAUCUAGCUACCUGGAGGAAUACAAGGGGCCUUUCCUUGCUGUCUGCAUCUUUACUUCCCAAAGUUGCAGCACAGAAUAUCCAUUAUCUGUGACAUACCAUUUGGUCAGGAAAAAAUCCCCUUUAGUUUAAAGGCCAGCUAUGGCAUAUGACACACCUCUUCUUAUUGACCAUACUUUGACAACUGUUUACCUGAACUGAUCUAAAUAAUGGUGUACAACUGCCACUGUUCCUCCCUCUCUGGAUUACAGUCUGGUUCUCGAGCAGAGAAAUAUGAAUAUUGAGCCUUUAGUUCAAGCAAAUUGGAAUGGGUUAACUAUAGCUCUACAGCACAAACAAGGUCUGCAAUGUGAACUUAGAGAAUUUCUCACUUAGCAGUCAGGAGGAAGGUUUGCCUAUUUCACAAAGAGUUCCUAAAACAUAAUAAAUAAAGCAUAGAGAAAGCAAGUGUUUUCCUAAAUGGGAUCACCCUGCUCUUUCCAGCUUUCUGAGGAAUAGAAUGUUUUGAUGAAAUAAAUUAUGAUUUAUACCAGAUAAUUUUACUACUUACCAGCUGCCACCUUAUUUACUGUCAUUUUUAUCUCUUCAGAUGUGAAUGCUUUGUCUUUCUUGAGAAUAUGCAUUUGGUAAAGGAGAAUAACAAAAAAUUCAGUGAAUAAUUUCUAUGAAUCAGGGGUGCUCUAAAAGAAAAUCAGCACUUUUAAUUUAAAAGCAAACCAUCAAGAGAGGGCACUAUGAGAGUAGUACUUUGAAAUAACAUCCAGAUUCUUUUCUUUCAGAGACCAUUGAGAUAACAAAGGAUCAUUUCCUUUGGUUCAGUGGAUAGGUAAAUAACCAUCGACAAGCAUGGAACUGACCAGAAAAAGGUGGCAUUUAAGUCCAGCUCUCACCUCAUCAUGUGCUGUCUACUGUUUAAAACUAAAGGCCUCAACUGCAGUGAGUAAGAGGUUAUCUAGACACACUUAGAAUCUUCAAUGAAAAUAAUUAAAUGUAGUGCUUUCUUAGUUUCUCUGCUAUUUACAAUUUUAAGUAAAACCAAAAUAACUGAAAGUAAUUUGGAUGGACUCGUAAAGGAAAAGUAGAACGUACAAAAAAAAAGAUAAUUUGCACAGCAUUUUUCACUUUAUACUGUGUUAGGCUUCUUUAUAAACAGCAGAAUUCUGGUCUAUUACUUUGUUAUUUUGUGAAUUAUCCAAUUUCACUCUGACUAACACUAGCUAAAUAUUGCUGACAGUUACUGAAGGAUAAGCUGUAAGUAGAAAAAAAGUAGAAAAAAGACUGCUGGAAAGGACCAUUUUGGUACACUCAUUUCAAACAACUACUAGGAGAAUAUAUGCUAUGGAUUUUAAUAUUCAGAUUAUAGUAUAAGAUGCUGUGACUGUAAUAUUUAUUUACCUUGUUCUUUUGGCUGAGAAAGAGCAUAUAGGUGUAUAUAUACACAUACACCUAUACAUACGCAUGUUCAGAAACACGCUCUUUGAAGUUCUGGAUUUUUAAAGAAACAUACACUCUUUGUUUUAGAAAAAUCCUAGAGAUAGCACAGCUGAAAGCACUGUGAAAUCUUGCAUUCUUGUUCUAGAUGCUGCCAGAAAAAACAAGCCUUUUAAGAUUGAGGAGGCUUGAGCUGUUUUCUUGCCAGUUGCAAGUCCUACUUCCCAAAGUAAAAGAAAGCAAGUAAUGUCUGUGAAAAAAGUUUUCCUGACAGACGGCAUGAAGGCAGCUCUGCUGUGCUCGGCCAGUCCUUAAGCAAUUAAAGUUCCUUUGUUGGCAAAGAGUCAGUUCUGAAACUAAUAGGGAAAACCAAAACAGGUGAUGAAGUGGCUAUCUCUAAAGGGGAGAUAUUUGAGUACAAAGGAAAAUGAAGAUGAAGAAGAAAUUGGGUUAUAUGUCUGUGAAUAAAUGGCCUCCCAUCAGAAAAAGAUUAUUUUAAAAUCACUGUUCUAAUUCUUAUAUUAAAGAUGGUUUAAUUCAUGCAGAACUAUUUGGCCUUGUGGAUGAAUUCCCGCAAUUAAGUGUUUAUGAUUGAAAGUGCUGCCAUGGAGAGCAGACACAUGAAUAUCAUUUCAGGAGUGCUGUGGAUCAUUAAAUGAGUUGUAGAACCUUUUCCUGGGCAUGAGCCACUUUUAAAUUUCAGGUUAAGGCUAUAAUAGACUUCAGCAUAAGGCCUGCUGUGUUGCUGUAUUAGAAGUUUGAAUAACAGGCUAAUCAACAUUUACUAAUAUGUUUAUAUGAUUUUAAACUUCUUAUAGUUAAUUGAAAAUAUGUGCCCAUGGUAUGUGAAUAUGCUUUUGGGCUCAAAUACAUUUUUCAAAUUAGUGCAUUAAGUGCUAAUGUCAGGUAAUGAACUUAACCUGCCUCUGACGUGUUGGCUUCUUUCGGCUCAAGAUAGGCAUGGCUGCUUUCCCUGCUUCAGUACAGAGAGAGGCUGGAUGUGGAAUGUCUUACAAACCUGGACAGAUGACGAGAAAACAGUGCUAGCUGCCAACUAACUACCUUCUCUAUAUUUGUCAGGAUUCAUGCUUGAUUUUUGUUAGGAUGGCUCGAGGCAUUGUUCUAUAACUGAUUAGCAUGUUGGGAGGACAUAAACUGAAGCACAGGCCAGAUAGACAGAUUGGCAUUUUUUAGGCUCAACAGAGGAAGUAGACAUAGGUCUACUCUUUCUGGUUAAGUAAAGAGCAUUGGUCCACAGCUUGCCUUCUCUUGGUACGGCCUGUCAUUCCCAGAAUUGCUUGCUGCUCCUGUAAGCAGUUUUGCCAGGUAUGGAAAUUAAAGCUCAAACAGUAGUAGAUAAAAUUGGAUAGACUGCUUGAGGCAGUUACUAUCUCCCCCUGUACUGUGUCUGAAACCAUCCUUCCUGUGGCUCUGGCAGACCACUGCUUCCAGCAGGGAAGAAACAUUAACUCCUGCAUCUCCUCCUAAACAACUUCAGCUUUCAGUCUGGUGUGUUAAGAUCAACUCCAGUUUCAGCAUGGCUCAAAAUUACCAUCGUUCAGGAGCAGCUUCGAGAGCUGUUUGGUUGUGAGGUGGCAAGAUGUCACGGGGUGGGGUGAACGAACUAACUCCUUCAGCCAUCUGAUUUUAAUCCCUUACCAUAUGUGACUUGAAGUCCUUAGAUGCCCUCUACUGCCAUAUACCAGAAUUAACAGAUGGCUCGGUGUAACCAAACUCAGAUUUGCUGAAGUUUGUUAUUAUCUCUGUCUUUAUAAAUUAACAGAGGAGGGGAAAUAAUAUCCAUAAUUAUUACAAAAUAUUCAAAGCCUUUUAUAAAGUGUGAGCUUGGGCUAGACAUGUUUUCUGACUUUCAGUGCCAUUGCCCUGUAUUUCAAAAUUUUAACAUUGUGUUUAGUAGUCUCUUCAGAGCUCACUUCUCUGAUAAAUUAUCCCUCUGCGAAUAAAUUUGAUCCAGAAAGAUGCCUGAGGCACAGUAGACUUUUUCCCCAGCAUUUCAUGCCACAUAAUGCUAGAUGGAAGGAAGCUGCAAAAUCUGCUGCUGUAGAUCAGUCUUUAUUCUGGGAAGGAACUAAAGGAUGCAUUUAGACAUUGGAUGUAUUGUUUGCGUAGGACAGAGCAGCAGGCAAGAGUGUAUCUGAAAUGGAACGAGAAUGAAAUUUCUGUUCCACCUUUCCCUGUGUUAUGACAGGUUUUGUGUGCUGGCAGGCACAAAGCAAUCCUAAGUCAAACAGAACUAAUCUUGGAGGGAAUCACUCAACAGGCACUUAAGAAUCAACGUUUCUGUGGUGCUUGAGCUUUAACUGUGCUGAGUAUGUCAACUCCUUUUCCUCCUAUAAGGAAAAAAAUCCCAGCAAAAAAAUCCCACUUUUAAUUCUCCGGCCCACGUUCUUCUUGCUGAUUUGACUGAGUGGGUUUGGUCCAAAUGAAAUUAGAAGCCGUGUUUUGUGUACGUUUUUUAACAUGCCUAACCUUUUCUGAGGACAGUCUGUUACUUCUUUCUACUCUAAGUGGUUGUUGGUGAUGUUACAAAUAGAAGCAGGCGUGGCAGGAGGGAGCGUGAGCUUUCCAGUGGAACACAUGACAGCAGGGACCUGCUCCAGGUAACUGAAGGGGGCCAUGUAGAGAGGACACGCAGGAGGGCCUCUGCCAGGCUCAUAAAAAGUUGGUUCAUUGAAAGGGGGAAAUUUCACACUCUGCUUCCUUUUCUCUCCAGCGCAGCCCUCUACUUUCAGGCACACUGGUCUAGAAUAUGCUGCUUACAUUUUUCAGAAGCUUUUGUAAUUUUUCCAGAACAUAAUCUCAAACUAAGUCCAUAGCAAAAUCUUGUUGUGAAUGGGGGCUUUGUUCUGUGAGACUGUUUCUGAAAACAGCCUGGUUCUCUGUUAGCCACUGCAUAAAAGGCUGAAACGUGAAUUUGUUCAUAUGCUUUUGUUUCAGUGUAUUCAUUCUUUCAACUCCUCCCCCCACUUUCUCCAAGAAAUACAUGGAGCUCUUCACAUCCUCCUGGCAGGUGGGCUAUAUAAUGUUGUGGUGGCAAACCUGUAAAGCUUUACCAAUUUAUGCCACCUGACAGUAUGGUCCAUUGCAUGUAUUUUUAUUAGAUCCCUAUUUUUCCAUUUUCUUUAAUGGCAUUUCAGUCUUUCAGUCGCUUUUUUUCUUCCCCUGUGCAUCAGGGACUGAAAUCACGUGUCCACAGAAUGUAAAUAACAGCUGUUUCCACUCAAUUUGCAUUUAUAUACUUAGCACUUAAAAAUAGAUUAUUUCUGGAAGCUGUGACAAUCUAGUCAAAAUUCCCACUUAGAGGUACUAGUGAGAUGUUAAUGAGAUCCCUUUGGACUAGCUGAUUGAAGAGGUGAAGCAACAACAAUGAAAUUCCCUAAAUGACUGAUCAGUUAGGGUUCUAAAUUAUCCUUCAACAAUCGACUGAAGCUUAUCUUUUAAUCUCCUUGGGCAUUUUCAAGAUCAGUUCCUUGGGCUGCUCUAAGGCAACAAAAGUAUGCCAGGAGUCUCAACAGGGGCCUCUGUGAACUGGACUGGAGAAUCUUCACGACUCAGGUUGUUUAGAGAACAGUAAUUAUGUGUGUGAGUUGCUGGUUUUGUGUGUCUGUAUAAGCCUGUGCUAGACUCAUUCACACCUGGUACUCUGAACAAAGGCAGUCUAAGCUCAGGUAAUCUGCAAAAAUGCUGUGGGUUCACACUACCUGAUUUCAGAGGGCAUACUUGUAUUUCUAAAUAAUAAUAAAAAAAAAGUCCCUGAUGUUAAGAAAGACUUAUAUUGGGAAUAUAAGGGGCACAUAUAUGGCUUAUAUUCACAUUAGCUGGGGCUAGUUCCCUCUUGAGCAGACUCCCACAUUCACAUCAAGCAGUCCUCCUUGGACUCCUUCUGGUGCCCCUAUAGAUCCAACAUGCCAUUCUGGGAUUUUUUGUGUUAUCUUUUUAGAUAAUUUGAAGUAUCUGAAAUUACGUGAAACUGUAUUACAGGUUGUGAGAAGGGUGCUUUCCUAGCAUGAAAGUGAGGGGGUGUGUUAUAUGUUUUGGCAUGUGGUCAUGUUUGAGGGUGCACAGCUCGAGCAGUUUAGAAGAGCAGGCAGCGCGAAGUCAAACAAGAUGUGAUAUCAGGAGCAGUGCUUGGUGCAGACUCUCCCUGCAGCAGUGGGCAGCCAUUGCUUGAAAAAGGGCUUGGUGGAACAUGGGAGGUAAUGAAGAGUUGUGGGGACUAGCAGCUGGGGCUUGAGCUUGCUCCCCAGCCUGCUGCAGUAAGGAUGAGCUCAGAGGGAUGGAUCCCAAGCAUCUGCCUGCUGCUGGAGCCACUGUGGCAUGGUAAAGCACAGACAGGCGUUUUGACUGCAGGAUAAAGGCAUCACUGUAUUUCCUGUGUCAUUUCCACAAAGUCAUGACUUAAAAUCUUGGUCAUAUUGAAACAAAACACUGACCAAGUUCCAGCAAUUCAAGCUUUUGUCCUUGCACUGGACAAGGACUGGCUAAGCACUGUGUAGGUACUAACCACUCUUCUCUUCACAGGCCAUUGUGUGCCUUACCAGUGGCCUCUUUGGGCUCACUUCAAAUCUUUCUUCAACAAAUAUGGCCACAUAAAGUCCAUGAAUUGUAACCCAUGCAGCCAAGAUACAGCAUGUUUAUUUUAGUAGAUUUGAUACAAAUAUAUGCUCUAGAAAGGGAGUUUCUCUGCAAUUUUUCUUACCUCUGCUUAUGGUAAACUCCCCAUGAAUUUUGCUUGCACUGGUCUUCUACUCUGGAUAGGAAAUCCUAUUUCUUAAAAUUCUAAAUUUUGUGGAACUCACUGCCAACCUCAGUUUCCCCAUCACCAAUGCCAGGAUUUUAACUGUAUGAAAAAUAGCAUGCGGGAGAGGGAGUUCUAUAAACAUCUAUUCUUGGAAAAUAACAAGUGAACCCAUACUGAAACCAGUCAGGAUUAAAAAUUAGAAAAUAAAUUUAAAAAGAAGGAUAUGAAGCCUUAUGCUACUUAUACCAACCAAAUGUUAAUUAACUAGGGGUCAAGGAAAAUUUUUUCCUCAAUUAUUCAAUUGAAAUCAUCAGUGUGUCUUAACUAAAGCAGAUGGUGAGGAUCACUACUGCAGCACAGUUCUGAUGCAGCGUAACUCCUGCUGAUGUUAACUUCAGAAAAAUGCUACUUGGCUUAUUAUUUGUUUAAACAAAUAAAACAUAUUUGAAUGAGAAACUUGCAGUGUUUAAGAAACUUUAGCAGUGUUUAGAAAACUUAGUGCUAAUGACUAGCAGUGUUUAAGAAACACUGAUCUUUGCUUGAAACUGUUAAGCUCUGUUUUGUUACCAUUAGUGAGUAGGAAAUACAUGUUUGUACAGUAUCCUGCUUUAAUAGUUUAAUCUUUUACUUAGGUUAAACUUUAUUCUACCUGGUAAUAGCUUAAUGCAGUAGCCUAAUUCAACAAUCACUUUUCACUGUUCAUUGAAUUUUUUUGUGGUACUUACCUGAUUAGAAUUUUAUUAGUUCUAGCAGAAAAGAUGCUAAAAAACAGCUCUUCCAGAAUUUCUCUUUUUUUAAUAUCUCAUAUUUUGCUGGUUAGGGACAUUCUUUUGCUGAGGAAUUGUAAACUUCAGUAGUUGUCAAAACUGGCCUUAUAUAAAAAGGUAAAUCACCUCUGACCUGAGACUGUUUAUCAUCUUGACAAGCAGUAAAGCUGAAUAUUAGAACAAUUGUUUUCUGUAUGUAUUACUUAUUUUUCAUAAAGACCAGUUGGCAAAGUUUCCAGUUCUACUGGCCAUUCCAACCUCUUGAGGUGCCUCCAGGUGAUGAAAAACUUUGUGAUAUAUUGAUUAUCACUUCUCACCUACAUCAUUUACUAAAGUGGCACACCAGGCCAUAAACUUUUACUUCUCCAGAAGCCAUGCAAUGGAAAAUUGCUGGCCAAACAUGCUGUUUAGUUCACACAGCUUCCACAUUGCUCCCACUGUCUGAUCUGCAGUGUCCCAGCCGCUGUCAUUACAUACAGUGGAACUAACAAUCUUUGUCAACUGUAUCUAAAUUUUCAGAUAAUUCUGGGCAAAUUGCUCAGUAAACCAUAAUUUAUUGUGUAAUUUUUCUAGAAGUACCUCGAAGUAACAGUUACAAUCAUGAGCUCAUUUUAGAAGAGGUGCUACUAAGAUACAUAUCUUAUUUCUCCCGUGACUACACACUGAGCGAAACAAACAAAAUAGCUUAAUUAUUAUCUUUUAGCAUUGGAGGGUUGAUUAAAUAUGAAGGGAGAUUAAAAACCUACACACAAUUUAUUCAAAGUGACAAAUUAAAUGUAUGUGAAUUACUCUAUAUAGAAAAGCAAGAUUUCCUAUAUACGGGCUACACACUGUUGAAGGCUAGCAGACACAGCAAAAAUAGUUCUAUCCAAAUUUUAAGAGAAGUAUUUUCCUUUUACAUAGAUACUCUCCUAAAUUAAAAAAAAAAAGUAGUAAGACUGCUUUCAUUUACCCCAAUACAGACAUCUGAAUCUCAUCUUCAUCCUCCCUUCACAGAGAAGGAAAAUGUACCUCCAGAGAACAACUGUGUGACAUAGUCUAUACAAUAAAAUGUUAAAAUAAGAUCAACUGCCUUAUGUAGGUAUUUUUUCCACGUCAAUUGACUAUAAGGGGAGCCUACAAAGAUUAACUCAGGCUUUGAUGUCUAAUUAGUAGCUGUCUCAAUCCUGGAGACAAAUCCAACUUUUAUGUAUUGUGGGUACACGAUUUGUUUCUUUAUUCUGGUUACUAGUGGGUUUGCUUUAAGUCACUUUUACUAUACUGUAGCAUUAAAAUAAAAUAUACAUCCUCUAUUACAGAUGAGGAAUGCAGUCUACAUCUAUUUUGUCUUUUAUAACUUUGUAUUGGUUUGGAGGAUGGAAUGAGCACUUGAGAAAUUACAGCAGAGCAGCUGCUAAAAUUCAUAAAGACUGGAGUAACUGAGAAAUGCAGUGCUGGCUUUAAACAGCAGUCAGUACUGUGACUUAUAAUGGACCUGCCACAACGAUUUACUCUGGUACAACAGAACUUGGACAUGACAGAUGAAGUUCAGACCCAAUACAACAGCAACGGACAAGAAGAGAACUUUCCUACAGGACUGAAUAGCUGGAAGGGUGGGGAGGGAGAGAUGGGUGGAUGUGUAACUGCUGCCUUCAUUGUAGUCGUGAGGAACUGAAAUAUAAAGACAUGACACUUGU